rnacentral:rRNA from 1 species
GAUGAACGCUGGCGGCGUGCUUAACACAUGCAAGUCGAACGGAAAGGCCCAAGCUUGCUUGGGUACUCGAGUGGCGAACGGGUGAGUAACACGUGGGUGAUCUGCCCUGCACUUCGGGAUAAGCCUGGGAAACUGGGUCUAAUACCGGAUAGGACCACAUUUUGGAUGGUGUGGUGGAAAGUUUUUCGGUGUGGGAUGAGCUCGCGGCCUAUCAGCUUGUUGGUGGGGUAAUGGCCUACCAAGGCGUCGACGGGUAGCCGGCCUGAGAGGGUGUACGGCCACAUUGGGACUGAGAUACGGCCCAGACUCCUACGGGGGGCAGCAGUGGGGAAUAUUGCACAAUGGGCGCAAGCCUGAGGCAGCGACGCCGCGUGGGGGAUGACGGCCUUCGGGUUGUAAACUCCUUUCGCUAGGGACGAAGCGUUUUUGUGACGGUACCUGGAGAAGAAGCACCGGCUAACUACGUG